GAAGUGCUGCAGCAAUAACAGUCUUACACAGAAGGCAAAGGAGCUUGAAGCUGAAAUCUGUAAUAAAGCUGAAAAAACCCUGCAGUACAUGAGCCUGUUGCCAUGGUUCCCGGAGCCGGACAAGUGACGCGGCUUCCGGCGCGACAGGUGCAGCCGCGACCGGAAGUACACGCUGCGGGAAGGCGACCGUGGAGACCGGGGACACGCUGAGAACGACGGGGAGGGGGUUUUUAAAAAGCCUAUAGGGACCUCCGGCCCAGGCCCUUCACAUUCUGCAAAACAGGAUGCUGCUGUGCAGCAGAGGACAUUGUGAUGCCAAGUCAGCCUGCCCAAUGCCAGGAAUCAACCACUGAGGAUACGUUCGUCUUACAGUUAGCACCAAUACCACUGCAUGAGCAAAGUCCCGCUAAGUUUGCUACACCUCCGACUCCACACACACCUGACCCAGACACAAGCACAACCCCCCAAACACCACAGGCUCAAGAACGAGUUUUUUGGGCCAGCUGGGCCAGCCAGCAGACCAAUACUUUGGACUACUUACGUCAACAAACACAGGCCAUUGCAAGUGUAGCCCAUCACAUACCAUGCCUAUGCAGAACCAGCAGCAGGCAAGCGAUGGAGCUAACAAGAGUGGCCAACACACUGGAACUCAUGAGGGCAGACAACAAUAGACUGAUCAACAUAUAACAACGACUGAUGGAUGAUAAUCAUAGGCUCCAUCUAGGCUACUUGCAGCUUUUUUCGGCCACACAAACAACCCAAGACAACAUGGUCCGAAUGAUGGAGAGUCAAACGUCGGCCACAAGAGACUUAAACUUGACUCUUACAAAUUUAACACAGCAUUUGACACAUCAAGGGGCCCACACAAGCUCAAGCUCUACACCAACAACCCUCUUAGUGACUCCUGUCACGUCACCACCCAGACGUUCUGCCCGUACUCGGCCACACUCCAGUGGAAAGGGGACAUCCACUGAAAAGGGUCGCAAGGAGAAAUAGUUUUGGUUUGUUUAUAUUGUUUUGGUUUUUGAAUUUAGUUUUAAUUUUGCACAUUAUCAGUUAUAAAUUUUGGAGACAAAAGCACAAGUAAUGCAAUCAUUAAAAAAAGGUGAUUUUGUGUAUUUGCAAGGUGAACAUAAUAUUAUCAGUUUACUA